UUACCGAAUCCACGAUCGUCACAAUAGUUGUUGUAAUCGGAAUUUUCCUCCUAACAACAACUAUGAUGGCGGGUUACCUUUUACGAUGUUUGACAACCAGAAACAAAAAGAAAGAUAAAGACUAUCAUCAACCAUCUAAGACGAUGGAACUCAAUAUUCCAUUGCAUGAUCUUGAAAGAGCUACAGACAACCAAAGCCAGACAAAUAA